GGGCCUUUGAAUCCGGCCUUUCAACUCCAAGCCGAGUAAAUCAUAGCAGGACCCAGACGGGAUUUAAUGCCGGCAGGAAACGCCUUCCGCAGCCGGCGCUGUCCACCCCCUCCCACACCUGGGAAACGGGAACCUGCGAGGAGGGCGCUCGGGAUGAGAGUUCAGCCCUCUGUGAAUGUCCGGCAUCUGAUCUGAACAGAAGGGGGAGCUGGGGGACCAGCGUGCAAGGAGGGGCCCACGGGGCUCAGAGGCCAACCAGGGACGGAGGCGCUCGGCCUGCAGGGAGGACUGGAUGCGUCAGAGGUGCGGUCGGAAUGCACGCUCCCUCGGCCGAGCCCUUGGGCCCUUCCGCACCUCUGGGCGUCGCGGGCCUCUGUCCAGGGCUGUCCUCUCGAGCCCCUCCAGGCCAGCUGCCCUAGGGGGGUCCACGCUGGAGCAGCACCACCAAUAGAUGCCACCAGAGCCUCACCAAAACGUCACGAGGAGCAGAGAGAUCGACCUUCACGACGCAUUUCAUUAAACCAACGUCCGGAAAAGGACGCCUGCACCCCAGCGUCCGCAGCAACACCGUUCACGGAAGCCAAGACACGGAAGCCACCUCAGUGUCAGCUACAGGCGAACGGGUGAAGAAACUGGGGGUAUAAAAGCCACCUGAGUGUCAGCCACGGGCGAAUGGGUGAAGAAACUGGGGGUAUAAAAGCCACCUGAGUGUCAGCCACGGGAGAACGGGUGAAGAAACUGGGGGUGUAAAAGCCACCUGAGUGUCAGCCACGGGUGAAUGGGUGAAGAAACUGGGGUAUUUGCAUAAUUAAAGACUGUAUUAUGCACAUAUGAUGAGAUAUUGUCAUAAAAAUAUGAAAUUCUGCCAUGUGUAGCAAGGUGAAUGAAUCUUGAGGAUAUUAUCCUAAGUUAAACAAGUCAGACAGAGGAAACCAGAUACCAUAUAAUCUCACUUGUAUGUGGAAUCUGAAAAACAAACAAAAAAUCCAAGUCCUUGGAUGUGAAGACCAGAUUGGUGGUCACCAGAGG
ensembl:lncRNA